rnacentral:rRNA from 1 species
CUACGGGAGGCUGCAGUGAGGAAUAUUGGUCAAUGGGCGCAAGCCUGAACCAGCCAUCCCGCGUGCAGGAUGACGGCCCUAUGGGUUGUAAACUGCUUUUGUUUGCCAAGAAUGGUCACUACGUGUAGUGAUUUGACGGUAGCAGAUGAAUAAGGACCGGCUAACUCCGUGCCAGCAGCCGCGGUAAUACGGAGGGUCCAAGCGUUAUCCGGAUUCAGUGGGUUUAAAGGGUGCGUAGGCGGGCCUUUAAGUCAGUGGGUGAAAUCUUGCCGCUUAACGGUAAAAUUGCCAUUGAUACUUGAAGGUCUUGAAUAUAGUUGAGGUAGGCGGAAUGUGUUGUGUAGCGGUGAAAUGCAUAGAUAUGACACAGAACGCCGAUUGCGAAGGCAGCUUACUAAGCUAUGAUUGACGCUGAGGCACGAAAGCGUGGGGAGCGAACAGGAUUAGAUACCCUGGUAGUC